GACGAACGCUGGCGGCGUGCUUAACACAUGCAAGUCGAACGGAAAGGCCCUGCCUUUGUGCGGUGCUCGAGUGGCGAACGGGUGAGUAACACGUGAGUUACCUGCCCUUGCCUUUGGGAUAACUUCAGGCCACUGGGGCUAAUACCGGAAAGGAGCUCCUGCUGCUUGGUGGGGGUUGGUUAGUUUCGGCGGUUGGGGAUGGACUAGCGGCUUAUGGGUUUGUUUGUUGGGUAGUGGCUUAGCAAGGUCUGGACCCGUAGACUGGCUGGGAGGGUGGCCGGCCACAUUGGAACUGAGAUACGGCCCAGACCAGUACCGGAGGGAGCGGUGGGGAAGAGUGCACAAUGGACGGGAGCCUGACGCAGCAACGCCGCGUGCGGGAAGACGGCCUUCGGGUUGGAAUGCACAUUCGCCUUUGACGAAACGAGAAUGACGGUAAUGGGAGAAGAAGCACCGGCUAACUACGUG
rnacentral:rRNA from 1 species